ensembl:lncRNA
AAUUUUCUUCAGAUUUGUAAAAACCUAAAACUUUUUUUUUUUUAAUAUAUAUUAACAGGAAACUGGAUGUUGAAGAUGUGGAAAAAACCUCUAAAGUUAUUAUCAAUUAAGAAAAUAUUGUUGUAGUAAUGUUUUACUUAAAAUAUUUUGAUCAAAAUGUACCGGAAGACAUGACAAAAACAACAUUUUGAUGUGAAAUUCACCCUUACAAUUUUAAUUACCGUGUUAUUUUAAUAAAAGAAACUAUACUGUAAAAAUAUUUUUCAAAGUUGCAAAUAAAACAAAGAUUAUUGGAUUACAUUUCAGAAGUAAAUACUAGCCUAUACCUACUUAAAAAUGUUAUGUUUAAUUCAAUAACUUGUGAAAUUCACUAGCAGUUUCUGACUGGAAAUGGUUUCAAAGCCAUUUUUUUCAAUUGUAACUAAUAUUAUUGUAUAUUCUAAAAACAUAAGAUGGGUAUGUGAACAUAAACACCAAAGCAUGACCCACAUUCUGCUCAGAAAACAGAUUUUCUCCAUCAGAAAGGUAGCUACUUAAACAUGUGACAGCAAUAACAGACAGUGCCACAUGCACACUUCCCAUAAUCCUGUGAGUUCACCUCUCUUUCUGACCUAAUAGCUUCCAUCUACCGCUGGACCCGUUCCAAGGGAAAGUGUAGAGUUGGGCCAAAAUCCGUGGACAGCUACUGAUGAGAUCUGCCGAGUCCAAAAAUGUGAGUGUAAUAAAACAACAGCAUGAGGAAAAGCUGGACGUCCUCCUGGGCUGCAUUAGCGAGCGGUCCAUACGGUAAUGCAAUGAGAGGCCGAGGAUGUAUCGUGCUGAAUCUCUUCCUUGGACCGCGGCCGGGAUGUAUUUAUGGUUUUUCCUUUAGCAGUGAGAGGGUCAGAGGGCGACGUGAGGUCCUGACAGAACACAAUCAUCCAUUAACGCUUAAACAGACAUGAAUGGAAAAAGGCAGCAGUUCAGGAUCAUCAAAUCAGAUCCUUUAUGCAACAAAAGCAUUACCACAUGAAGAAUCGAGAGCACGCUUUCCACAACAACACAUGAUGAAAUCCAGAAUAUAGGA